UUGACGGGGCCGCACAAGCGGUGGAGCAUGUGGUUAAUUCGAUGAUACGCGAAGAACUUACCGGGGUUUGACAUGCAGGUGAUCGCCGUUGAAAGACGGUUCCUCUUCGGAGGCACCUGCACAGGUGCUGCAUGGCUGUCGUCAGCUCGUGUCGUGAGAUGUUGGGUUAAGUCCCGCAACGAGCGCAACCCUUAUCCCUAGUUGCCAUCAGGUAAAGCUGGGAACUCUGGGGAGACUGCCGGUGAUAAACCGGAGGAAGGCGGGGAUGACGUCAAGUCCUCAUGGCCCUUACAUCCCGGGCUACACACGUGCUACAAUGGCAGGUACAGAGGGCUGCGAAGCCGCGAGGUGGAGCGAAUCCCAGAAAACCUGUCUCAGUCCGGAUUGAAGUCUGCAACCCGACUUCAUGAAGGCGGAAUCGCUAGUAACCGCGAAUCAGCAGGUCGCGGUGAAUACGUUCCCGGGCCUU
rnacentral:rRNA from 1 species